GCCAAACUAUCGAUUUCGCAAGUCCAUGGCUUCAUGUAGCUCAGUACUUCGUGUAGUUCAGUACUGUACCCAAGGUUUCGAAGACGGUCGCAGUGCAUUAGGAUCGACACUUUCAAAGGCUUCAAACUCAAAAUUCCGAAAUUGAAUCGUCGAUUCGGGAUUCCGUUUGUCUUGUCCUCGUGCGUGCGUCGAAUUUAAACAAAGCAGAACUGAUGCGAAGCAAAGGAUUAACCGAUUCGAAGUUUCGACGUAAAGAUCUCAGCUUGUUUCUAUUUCAUCUAGCUUCAUCCCAGAAACUCUUCGGACGCAUCACAAUGAUGACGAAACCAAGACUUCUACAUGAAUCAAUACGCUCGUCCUUCGUGCUCUAAUCAUCUUCGCGUGCAAAAACGAAACCAGUUUUUCUCGAGUCAAGCUUCGCACGCGGAAUCAAGGGGAAGCGGUGCGGCUUUGUUCAAAAGAUUCCUGUCGGUUACAGAAGAACGAGCAGAAGAAUGCUCACGAGAUCAGAAUCGCAAUGUAGUGGUUCUGCAGUGAUUUCGCAGGAAAUGAGAUUGGUUGAUGCGAAUCAAGUGUCAGCAUUCACUCUGCCAUGAACUGAUCCCUUAUUAUGAAUGUAACAGUUAGCACAAAAUUGCCAUGAUGAUUCUUAAUUGAUUUGUUUAGUUAGUGUCAAAUGUUGUUAGUGAACUUUACUCCGCUGCCAUGUGACUGGAGUAUUAUGCUAGUUUAUGAAAUCGGAACAAAAUGCAUGUUUUAUGACAUUGCAAUACAGGUUUGCUGUUGGGUUGUGAAAUCACUUCUGUCAUGUGUUUCAGCUUGAUAAUAUGUUGAUGCAGUUUGUCCUGUUUCUGUUUGCAUGCGCUUUAAGACAUGUGAGCUGCUAUAACCAUGGUCGGAUUGAUUCUGUUAUACGCUUCCAUUAUGAAUUACUUGGCCAUAUUAAAAUAUAUUGGUGUGUGAAUGUGCAUGGAAGUGGAUUAUCUGUUGUGUACAUGGAAGAUGAAGUUGUCCUCAUCCUGCCAAGUCACUUCUGCAGCAUUUUUAACUUGCUCUUCUUCUUUUCUUUUUUCACAUGCUGUCAAAUGGUGAUCUCAAGCUGUCUGGACCUGUUUUCUUGCAAGCCACGAAAGUUAUGCUCAUAAGUGGAUUGUAUUGGCUUGGAGAAACAUGGCCAUGGUGAAAUAGAUAUUAGGGACCUAGAUUACAUGUUAGGAUUUGCUUGACUUAGGUUUCCAUGGUUGGAUUUUUUUAAUUUUGGGAUGAUUUUGUAGUGGUAGGAAUAUAUGGUCAUGUAUUUAUGAUUUAGAAUUAAUGGCAUCGGCUAGAAGCUACUUGGCAUUGGAUUGUGGAUUAUUGUAUUUUGUGAUUGAAAUGUGAUGAAUAAAAUAAUGGUUUAUGUA